UUUAGGAGUUCCACUUUAUCCAAUUUGUGGAUUUCAGUUUACUGCAGAAAGGUGCUUCAAAAACUAGUUUCUCUAACCCCUGGCCCAUUAUUUCCUGAACAUGAAAACUUCCUUAGAAUUAUAAUUUGCCAACUGACACUUCAAGAAAAAGCAGAUUGCCACCUAACCUUCUGCAGACAAAAGUGCCAGUAUUAUGCCACAGAACAGAGUUGGAUGCUGAGAAGUAGUCUAAGAGAAGCCAACCUCCGCUGACAAAGUAUUAACUGGACUCGAUGUACUUCAAAACUGCCAAGAGAACUUUACUGCAAAAUGGACUUGCAGUUCAGAAUGCUACCCUUCAAUCCUCAAAAGUAAACAAUUCCUGUUUA